AUGGAUUUGAAAAGAAUUACUCCAAAGAAAUUCAGUGUGAGCGUAGUCCAGCAUCCCUCAGCGUGGGCUGUGACCAAGAGUGUUUAUGGAGACCUGUGGGAUAUAACAUGGAACAAAGAGCAGAAACCAGUCAGCCUGAAGGUGAAAUGCAGGUAUUGCAGCAAAUGGACCAAAUCACAACCAAAGGAAUUGAGGAGCCAAAACGAGGAGGUCUCUCAAAGUUCUGGAGAAGGUACCUAUGUUGCAGCUGUGAGCAGUUCCUACUUAAAGCUACUUCAUAGUGCAGCAUUUGUUUUCCACCUGGACUGCCUGUUCUCUUAUUUCCUGAAUUUUAAAGAAUUGUAUCUGUGUGUUUUUCACACAGAGGGUGGUGAUGCACUGGAACAGGUUGCCCAAGGAGGCUGUGGAUGCCCCAUCCCUGCAGGCAUUCAAGGCCAGGCUGGAUGUGGCUCUGGGCAGCCUGGGCUGCUGGUUGGUGACCCUGCAUACAGCAGGGGGUUGGAACUAGAUGAGCAUUGUGAUCCUUUUCAACCCAGGCCAUUCUAUGAUUCCAUGAUCUUCUGGUGGGUAGAGCAGAGAUACUCCAGCAAAUAUUAAAUGAACUGGUUUGGGUGUGAGAGGAAACUUCAGGUGUGAUACUAGGGAGUAAAUACCAUGUGAGUCAAUUCCUUCACAUGAGCCUUCUGUGCUGCUCUGUCCCUGCUGUGUCUGAGACUGAUUCUGGCAGUUGAGAUGAUUCUGUGUUAUCUUGAAGAGUAGACACAUCUUUUCUGUGGUGGCUAAACCAAGGCCUUCCAAGGUGAAGAAACAUUCCCUCGUGCUUUAUGCUUGUGGAAAGGUGCACAUUCCCAGUGAAGUGUUUUGUAGCUGCGUUAGGGAAAACAAUCCCAGCAGAGUUACUGACCUCAAUCACUGCCUUUAUAUCAGAUAAAGAGUGCCACCUACAGCCGGACUGUUAGAACACUUUAAUUUUCUCUCCCAACAGAGCCAUUCAGGGACCGAUCUUCAGUCCCAUUAAGGGGAUCCUUAAAAUCCUUAUCAAUCCUAACGUAUGCCAGCCCCAUUAACGACUAGAGCACAAUGCUGCGAGUUAUUGUGUUUCCUCUCCAUGUUUCCAUCUUCCUCCGAGGCACGCUGUGCUGGCAGGCAGAGGCAGCCUCAUUCUUACAGUCCUCAGACAAGCAUUUUGUGUAUAAUC
rnacentral:lncRNA from 1 species